rnacentral:rRNA from 1 species
AUUGAACGCUGGCGGCAGGCCUAACACAUGCAAGUCGAACGAGUGGCGGACGGGUGAGUAAUGUCUGGGGAACUGCCCGAUAGAGGGGGAUAACUACUGGAAACGGUGGCUAAUACCGCAUACCAUCGGAUGUGCCCAUAAGGGAUUAGCUAGUAGGUGGGGUAAUGGCUCACCGAGGCGACGCUCCCUAGCUGGUCUGAGAGGAUGAUCAGCCACACUGGAACUGAGACACGGUCCAGACUCCUACGGGAGGCAGCAGUGGGGAAUAUUGCACAAUGGGCGCAAGCCUGAUGCAGCCAUGCCGCGUGUAUGAAGAAGGCCGUAGGGUUGUAAAGUACUUUCAGCGGGGAGGCGUUACCCGCAGAAGAAGCACCGGCUAACUCCGUGCCAGCAGCCGCGGUAAUAC